AAGAGAUUUGGGAGUGCUCGAAAGAGAGCCAGAACACAGGUGCUGCAUGGCCGUCGUCAGCUCGUGUCGUGAGAUGUUGGGUUAAGUCCCGCAACGAGCGCAACCCUUGUCAUUAGUUGCUACGAAAGGGCACUCUAAUGAGACUGCCGGUGACAAACCGGAGGAAGGUGGGGAUGACGUCAGGUCAUCAUGGCCCUUAUGGGUAGGGCUACACACGUCAUACAAUGGACGGUACAGAGGGCUGCCAACCCGCGAGGGGGAGCCAAUCCCAGAAAACCGUUCGUAGUCCGGAUCGCAGUCUGCAACUCGACUGCGUGAAGUCGGAAUCGCUAGUAAUCGCGGAUCAGCUUGCCGCGGUGAAUACGUUCCCGGGUCUUGUACACACCGCCCGUCACACCAUGGGAGCGGGUUCUGCCAGAAGUAGUUAGCCUAACCGCAAGGAGGGCGAUUACCACGGCAGGGUUCGUGACUGGGGUGAAAGUCGU
rnacentral:rRNA from 1 species